rfam:Ciona savignyi cont_22988, whole genome shotgun sequence.
CGUACCUGCUUCGGCAGUACAUUAUACUAAAAUUGGAACGAUACAGAGAAGAUUAGCAUGGCCCCUGCGCAAGGAUGACACGCAAAAUCGUGAAGCGUUCCUUAUUUUU